rfam:Acetivibrio ethanolgignens strain ACET-33324 ACET-33324.Scaf58, whole genome shotgun sequence.
GUGCGUGUAGCUCAGCUGGAUAGAGCGUCUGGCUACGGACCAGAAGGUCGAGGGUUCGACUCCUUUCACGCACG